rnacentral:rRNA from 1 species
AGUGAACGCUGGCGGCAGGCCUAACACAUGCAAGUCGAACGGCAGCACAAGAGAGCUUGCUCUCUGGGUGGCGAGUGGCGGACGGGUGAGGAAUGCAUCGGAAUCUGCCCAUUUGUGGGGGAUAACCUCGGGAAACCGGGACUAAUACCGCAUACGACCUACGGGUGAAAGCAGGGGAUCUUCGGACCUUGCGCAGAUGGAUGAGCCGAUGCCGGAUUAGCUAGUUGGAGGGGUAAAGGCCCACCAAGGCGACGAUCCGUAGCUGGUCUGAGAGGAUGAUCAGACACACUGGGACUGAGACACGGCCCAGACUCCUACGGGAGGCAGCAGUGGGGAAUAUUGGACAAUGGGCGCAAGCCUGAUCCAGCCAUGCCGCGUGUGUGAAGAAGGCCUUCGGGUUGUAAAGCACUUUUGUUGGGAAAGAAAAGCAGCCGGUUAAUACCCGGUUGUCAUGACGGUACCCAAAGAAUAAGCACCGGCUAACUUCGUG